CCCAUACCCCACCGUGACUAUCACUCCCCCAUACCCCACCAUGACUAUCAUAACAGCCCACAGCUGUCAUGAACAUCCGUCCGUCUGACUACACCCAAACCCCAUUUUGUGGCGACUAUCAUCCCCACCCACAUUUCUCAAGGGAAAAAGGACUGGAACAUGUCACCCACUCAGGUAUGCACUCACCUUGCCCUUCACAGUGCACGGCAUUCUGGGUAUUAACUUUUCAUCCAGUGUUGGUAAAUAUUAAAUACAAUAUUUAAUAAAACAAAACACGUAUUGGACAAAUAUGAAAUACAUUUAUUGGAGCAAACAUUGUUUGUUGCAUAAAGGUGUGAGGACUUAAAUGUAAAACAAUCACAGAAUAAUAUUUAUAUUGCAAGAGAGAGUAAUAAAGAUCAUCAAUAGAAUGAAAUAUUGGGAGCCAACAAAUGAUUGAUAGUCACACAUUUGAAAAGUCGAUGUUUAAAACACAACUGCUCAAAUGAUGUAUAAAGUAAAUAAUAAUAAUAUGCUGUUUUGUACUUCUCUUUUCAUUUAUGUCAUCAAAGUACAUAACGUUACAUAAAUAUAAUUAUAAAUAUAAUUAUAAAACAACUCAUGAUGUAAUGUGUAUAAUCUAUCAAUGUUAAAGUGUAAUAAGAAGAUGCACAAUGAUGUCACACAUGUUAAAUGUCAUGGAGUUAGAAAGUCAAUAUUCAGGUUUAAUGUUUUCUUUUUUUUUUUUUACCAAAUGUUGACUUUAUCCAAAACCUUCACCACAGAUUGAAAAUGUGGUGUUUUAUCUGCUGUGUAUCCUCAAAACAGGUAAAGGGUUUUAUCUGCUGUGUUUCCUCACGUGACCGUUCAAAGUGUUAGUUUGUGUAAAACCUUUUUUCAACAAAUUGAACAAGACUAGGGUUUCUCUCAAGUGUGUAUUCUGAUGUGUUGUUUCAGUACUUUUUUGAGUCGAAAAUCUCGACCGCAUUCAGAGCAGGAAAAGGGUUUCUCUGCAUUGUGCGUACUCAUGUGGUCUUUGAUGGAACUAUUUCGGGAAAAACCUUUACCGCAUUCAGGGCAGGAAUAAGGUUUUUCUCCGGUGUGUGUUCUCAUGUGCUCUUUCAAUCUAUUACUUUGAGUGAAGCCUUUGCCACAUGCUAAGCAGGAAAAAGGUCUUUCUCCGGUGUGUAUUCUCACGUGCUCUUUCAAACUAUUACUCUGUGCAAAACCUUUGCCACA